rnacentral:rRNA from 1 species
UAGUGAGUUUGAUCCUGGCUCAGGAUGAACGCUGGCGGUCUGCUUAACACAUAGCAAGUCGAACGCAAGUAGAAAUACUUGAGUGGCGGACGGGUUAGAGUAACGCGUGAGAAUCUGCCUUCUGGUCGGGACAACCACUGGAAACGGUGGCUAAUACCGGAUAUGCCUAUGGGUGAAAGAUUAAUUGCCUGAAGAAGAGCUCGCGUCUGAUUAGCUA